GUAAGAGUUGCAGGCUGAGAUGGACUAAUUAUCUCAGGCCCGGAAUCAAACGUGGUAACUUCACUGAACAUGAGGAGAAGAUGAUUAUCCACCUUCAAGCGCUUCUUGGCAACCGGUAUGUAUAUAGAAAUCUUGUUUCGUUAUGAAUACACACACUAAUAUGAGGCCAUGCAAGAUCUUGUUUUUCUUGAAUUAGGGUUUGAUCUAACUGUAGUCCCAAAUGCCAAAACAAGAUUUUUUAAGCUUUUAUGGGAUGGCUGAGAAUCUGGAUUCAUUAGAAUGGAAAAAUCUUGUUUAUUAUACUGUUCAUGGAACAGAAAAUAUUAUAGGGAUCUCAAUAGUGGUAUGCUAAUUUGUUUUAUGGUGCAGAUGGGCUGCCAUAGCUUCAUACCUUCCGCAACGAACCGACAAUGAUAUUAAGAACUUUUGGAACACUCAUUUGAAAAAGAAGCUGAAGAAACAACAAGGGAAUGAUGAACAAAAUCAAGAAGGGAGUUCAGAUUCUCAAUCAAUUCCAAAAGGCCAGUGGGAGAGAAGGCUCCAAACAGAUAUUCACAUGGCAAAACAAGCCCUAUGUGAAGCCUUGUCCUUAGACAAAUGGAACACAAAUUUGCUUGAUUCAAAGCCCUUUCCAGUAACCCUUUCAGAAACUAAACCAAUUCAGACAUCAACAUAUGCUUCGAGUACUGAAAACAUUGCGCGUUUGCUUCAGAACUGGACGAAAAAAUCACCAAAUUCCUCUCAAGCUGGUUCAUCACAGAGUACUACUCAGACUUCCUUCAACAACCCUUCAAUAGGGACAAGUUCCAGUCCUAGUGAAGGGACAAUUAGUGCCACAACACCUGAGGGAUUCGACUCAUUUAUGGGCUUCAGUUCUUCCAACUCCGAUGUUUCUCAAUCUGAGGGCGAACCCAAGGUCAAUGCUGCAAAUUUCAUUCCAGAAGCUGGGACUUUGCAGGGGGAGAGCAAGAUAAAUUUGGACAUUCAAAUGCCCCUAACUUUGCUGGAAAACUGGCUCUUUGAUGAUGCUUCUGCACAAGGAGGGGGAGGAUACAUAAUGGACAUGUCUUUGGGGGAAAAUGCUGAUUUGUUUUGAAAAAAGUUUUUCUUCAAAACAAAGUAGCAGUUUCAGGUUGAUCUUUUUGUCUUUUUGGUGGGUUUUUAGGCAGAAGUGUCCUAAUCAGUGUCUGCUCCAUCUAGAUCGAGCACAAAAGGAUGGAAUCUUCCAUAUAUUGGGAGAGCAUAAAGUGUAAAUGACUGAUCAUGUAUUGCAAUGUUUGGUAUGUAGUAUUAGAUAGAACUGGAUAGUAAAAAAAAUUGAUUUUAACUUCAUUUUAUUUGUUACUACUUUCCAGUACUAUGUAAUCCUCCGUACCAAACAUGUCAUACUAGUAGUGUAUAUGCACAUAUGCAUGGUUAAUUAAAUAGGAAUAAAUCUCUCUUGAUCUAUCUCCUUAGAACAACUGUUUGUACUCUGUGCACCAUUUGGUGUUUAUUAUGAGAAAUGAUAAUUAUGGUUUGAGUUAUGAUGCUUCCGAAUUUACUAAUGGUCUGUUCGGUAAUGAUUAUGAGAAUUGAUUUUUUGACUGUUAAAGAUAAAGUGGGUUUUACCUGUAAAUGAAGAAGUAAAAAAUGAUGACUGAAAUAGUGAAAUAACAUUCAAAAAAUUAAUUUUUUUGGCAUAUAAAAUUGCUAACAAAUGGGGCUAAAUAAAACUACAUUUUGUAUGUGGCAUAUAAUCCUGACCGUGAAAUGAAAUUUUUGGGGGAAAAAAAAAAAAACAACAACAACCAGUUUUUAUCACAGUCCUUUAAAAAAUUUCAAUUCUAAACACACUCAUUUUUUGUCUUCCCUCGGACGUAGGCCAAGUGCCGAACCUUCUAAGUUCUUUACUUUCUUCUCUUUUACAUUUUGCCUAAAAUCCUAAUCUGCAGCAGCAAGUCGUGUUAUGAUUUCAGAACCGAUAAAGUUGCAGGCUGAGAUGGACUAAUUAUCUCAGGCCCGGAAUCAAACGUGGUAACUUCACUGAACAUGAGGAGAAGAUGAUUAUCCACCUUCAAGCGCUUCUUGGCAACCGGUAUGUAUAUAGAAAUCUUGUUUCGUUAUGAAUACACACACUAAUAUGAGGCCAUGCAAGAUCUUGUUUUUCUUGAAUUAGGGUUUGAUCUAACUGUAGUCCCAAAUGCCAAAACAAGAUUUUUUAAGCUUUUAUGGGAUGGCUGAGAAUCUGGAUUCAUUAGAAUGGAAAAAUCUUGUUUAUUAUACUGUUCAUGGAACAGAAAAUAUUAUAGGGAUCUCAAUAGUGGUAUGCUAAUUUGUUUUAUGGUGCAGAUGGGCUGCCAUAGCUUCAUACCUUCCGCAACGAACCGACAAUGAUAUUAAGAACUUUUGGAACACUCAUUUGAAAAAGAAGCUGAAGAAACAACAAGGGAAUGAUGAACAAAAUCAAGAAG
rnacentral:lncRNA from 1 species